CACUACUAACAAAGUAAACGUUGAUUUUCUCUUGAACAAAAAUUUUAUGUAUUAUUAAUAUGCCAGCAAAAUACUUCUGUUCACCUUUUGAAUACAUUCAAAAGGAGAGUGAGUACAAAAGAGAAUUUUCUCAUGCUCUGGGGGGGGCCUGGGUCAGCUCAGGAAGGAAGCCCUGCCUGUAAAGGCUGCAGCUUAGGCUGUCUCUCUUCACUUAGCCCAGCAUCUGAUCACAUCUUCUGUCACUCAGGGCCUGAGGGGCGGGACCUAAAGCAUUAUCCAAUCAGAGACGCUGGGCUGGAAACCGUCCAAUCAGGCACGCAGCUGGAGCGACGAGGACGGCUUUCCGCUUUUGGCGCGGCCUUUGUCUCUAGCUGCAGCCGGCGUUUCAGGUCUCGUCUUCACUGGUCUGUGUCCUAUUCUCCUGGAGGCCCAGCCUCUGUGGCCCUGUGACCUGCAGGUAUUGGGAGAUCCACAGCUAAAACCCCAGGACACCCUGGAAGCAUAGAAAUGGUUCUGUAGCAGAAAUUGCUGGUGUCUGUGGCAGGGGAGGGCACCUGAGGACAGGGAAGAAGAAACAUAUUUUUAUCUUUAUGGAGCAGCACAUUGUUCCCAAAUACCUUCUGCUUUAAGGGACAGAAAUGGAUGGACUUUUUCUGUCUUUUCUGCCAGUUGAUGUCAUGCUUGCAGGGACCAUUGCAGUUUAGAGACGUGGCCAUAGAAUUCUCUCUGGAGGAGUGGCAUUGCCUGGACACUGCACAGCGGAAUUUAUAUAGGGAUGUGAAGUUUCAGAACUACAGAAACUUGGUCUUCCUUUGCUUCCUUAUGGAAAGUUUCUUAUUAGAAUCUUCUAUGUAUAAAUAUACUGCAUAUUCUCUGAAAUUUUACUGCCACACAGUGCAUGCCAAUGAUUCAAAAGAUCUGCAGUUGAGAUUAUAUUUUCUUCCAUCUUCCGCAUCCUCCUGUUCUUCAGCCAAUAAAUGAAAAAAGAUACAGAGAAGACACAUUUGCUUUUUAUCCACUGCACUUCCACUCACUAUUAGUCAAUGUGGUUACAGCUGAGAAUAGCAGUUUUCUGGCAGGGCAGCCACUUCUCAGCAAUAAACAGCACACUGAAAAAAAAGGAUAAAUCCUUCAUAAAAAGCUAAUGAACUUUUUUUUUCCUGGAAACUUUAAAAUCCCUCAAAAACUGUUUAUUAUACAGGUGAAUUUUGAUAGUCAUG
rnacentral:lncRNA from 1 species